GAAUGUGAGGGCGAUCUGGCUGGGACAUCUGUCACCCCACUGAUUGCCGGGGUUGAUUUGGCUGAUCUGGCUGGCUAGGCCGGAGUCCUCUUCCUCCCUCACCGCUCCAUGUGCGUCCCUCCGGAAGCUGUGUGCUCGGUGGAAGAGGACGGACGACCUUCCCCAAAUAGAGACAGACCGGUCUUCGGUCGAGGGUAUAAGAGAAGCUGUGCUCCCCUGCUAGAUUCAAGAUGCUUGUGAUAGGAUUUUUUAAAAAGUACUUAUUUGGUGGUUCAGUUUCUACCAUCACUAUUAUAUGCAUUGGAAAGAAUAAU
ensembl:misc_RNA 7SK 7SK RNA